rnacentral:rRNA from 1 species
UACGUAGGUGUCAAGCGUUGUCCGGAUUUAUUGGGCGUAAAGCGCCCGCAGGCGGCUUGCCAAGUUCGAUGUGAAAUCUCCCGGCUCAACUGGGAGGGUGCAUCGAAAACUGGCAGGCUUGAGGCAGGGAGAGGGAUGUGGAAUUCCAGGUGUAGUGGUGAAAUGCGUAGAUAUCGGGAGGAACACCAGUGGCGAAGGCGACUACCUGGCCUGUUCUUGACGCUGAGGCGCGAAAGCUAGGGGAGCAAACGGG